GACGAACGCUGGCGGCGUGCUUAACACAUGCAAGUCGAACGAGUGGCGAACGGGUGAGUAACGCGUAGGUAACUACCUAUUAGAGGGGGAUAACUAUUGGAAACGAUAGCUAAUACCGCAUACUAGUAGAUGGACCUUCGUUGUAUUAGCUAGUAGGUAGGGUAAUGGACUACCUAGGCAACGAUACAUAGCCGACAUGAGAGGGUGGUCGGCCACACUGGGACUUGGAAACGGCCCAGACUCCCACGGGAGGGAGCAGGAGGGAAUCUUCGGAAAUGGGGGGAAACCUGACCGAGCAACGCCGCGUGAGUGAAGAAGGUUUUCGGAUCGUAAAGCUCUGUUGUUAAGGAAGCGGUACUUAACCAGAAAGGGACGGCUAACUACGUGCCAGCAGCCGCGGUAAUUC
rnacentral:rRNA from 1 species